rnacentral:rRNA from 1 species
UACGAAGGGGGCUAGCGUUGUUCGGAAUCACUGGGCGUAAAGGGCGCGUAGGCGGCCGAUCAAGUCGGGGGUGAAAGCCUGUGGCUCAACCACAGAAUUGCCUUCGAUACUGUUUGGCUUGAGACCGGAAGAGGUAAGUGGAACUGCGAGUGUAGAGGUGAAAUUCGUAGAUAUUCGCAAGAACACCAGUGGCGAAGGCGGCUUACUGGUCCGGUUCUGGACGCUGAGGCGCGAAAGCGUGGGGAGCAAACAGG